UGGCGCACAAAGAUGGAAGCCUA
rnacentral:siRNA from 1 species